CCUACGGGAGGCAGCAGUGGGGAAUAUUGCACAAUGGGGGAAACCCUGAUGCAGCGACGCCGCGUGAGUGAAGAAGUAUUUCGGUAUGUAAAGCUCUAUCAGCAGGGAAGAAGCAAGACGGUACCUGACUAAGAAGCCCCGGCUAACUACGUGCCAGCAGCCGCGGUAAUACGUAGGGGGCAAGCGUUAUCCGGAUUUACUGGGUGUAAAGGGAGCGUAGACGGUAUGGCAAGUCUGAAGUGAAAGCCCAGGGCUUAACCCUGGGACUGCUUUGGAAACUGUUAGACUAGAGUGAUGGAGAGGUAAGUGGAAUUCCUAGUGUAGCGGUGAAAUGCGUAGAUAUUAGGAGGAACACCAGUGGCGAAGGCGGCUUGCUGGGCUUUUACUGACGCUGAGGCUCGAAAGCGUGGGGAGCAAACAGGAUUAGAUACCCGAGUAGUC
rnacentral:rRNA from 1 species